rnacentral:rRNA from 1 species
AGUGAACGCUGGCGGUAGGCCUAACACAUGCAAGUCGAACGGCAGCACAGGAGAGCUUGCUCUCUGGGUGGCGAGUGGCGGACGGGUGAGGAAUACAUCGGAAUCUACUCUGUCGUGGGGGAUAACGUAGGGAAACUUACGCUAAUACCGCAUACGACCUACGGGUGAAAGCAGGGGACCUUCGGCCCUUGCGCGAUUGAAUGAGCCGAUGUCGGAUUAGCUAGUUGGCGGGGUAAAGGCCCACCAAGGCGACGAUCCGUAGCUGGUCUGAGAGGAGGAUCAGCCUCACUGGAACUGAGACACGGCCCAGGCUCCUACGGGAGGCAGCAGUGGGGAAUAUUGGACAAUGGGAGCGAGCCUGAUCCAGCCAUACCGCGUGGGUGAAGAAGGCCUUCGGGUUGUAAAGCCCUUUUGUUGGGAAAGAAAUCCAGCUGGCUAAUACCCGGUUGGGAUGACGGUACCCAAAGAAUAAGCACCGGCUAACUUCGUGCCAGCCGCCGCCGUAA